GCGGAGGAAAAGAAACCAACAGGGAUUGCCUUAGUAGCGGCGAGUGAAGCGGCAAAAGCUCAAAUUUGAAAUCUGGCGCCUUCGGUGUCCGAGUUGUAAUUUGAAGAUUGUAACCUUGGGGUUGGCUCUUGUCUAUGUUUCUUGGAACAGGACGUCACAGAGGGUGAGAAUCCCGUGCGAUGAGAUGCCCAAUUCUAUGUAAGGUGCUUUCGAAGAGUCGAGUUGUUUGGGAAUGCAGCUCUAAGUGGGUGGUAAAUUCCAUCUAAAGCUAAAUAUUGGCGAGAGACCGAUAGCGAACAAGUACAGUGAUGGAAAGAUGAAAAGAACUUUGAAAAGAGAGUGAAAAAGUACGUGAAAUUGUUGAAAGGGAAGGGUUUGAGAUCAGACUCGAUAUUUUGUGAGCCUUGCCUUCGUGGCGGGGUGACCCGCAGCUUAUCGGGCCAGCAUCGGUUUGGGCGGUAGGAUAAUGGCGUAGGAAUGUGACUUUACUUCGGUGAAGUGUUAUAGCCUGCGUUGAUGCUGCCUGCCUAGACCGAGGACUGCGAU
rnacentral:rRNA from 1 species